GGAUUAUCUUUAAGUUUCGAGCUGUUGAUUGCGAGUCUGUUAACAGUGAUAGCAAAAUUUGACUUUGAGCACAAAGCAUGGGCAAUCCAAAAAUUGUAUUCUGAGAAAUACAAUUUAUUUUUGUGAUUCCAAAUGAAGAGAUAAAAAUCAAGUCAGGCCUUCUGAAUAGUCACCAUUCUUUCUGUUGAAGGCUGCAUGCUUUUCCUGAAGUGCAGUGACAUGUUCAGGUAGGAGCUGGAGGGCUGGUGUACAGGUUAAGAGUGCUGAGUUCAGUCCUCAGCACUCCAGCUAGGUGACUCCCAGCUACCUAUAAGUCUAGUUCCAGGGGAAUUUGACACUCUUUUCUGGCCUCCAAGGGCACCUGCAUACAUAGAUACACACAUAAAUAAAGAUGAAAAUAAGCCCAUUAAAAAUACUAGAUAACCUUUAACUCCAGCAUUCGAGAGGCAGAGGCAGGAAGAUCUCCAAGUCUGAGGCCAGCUUGGUCUAUGCAGGGAGUUCCAGGAUAGCUAGAGCUACACAGAGAAACCCUGUUUCAAAACCAACCAAACAAAACUAACAAAAACAAAAUCCUAGGUACCAGAGAAUUUAGAAAGAAUAUUGUCCUGUUGUUUCUGUUUUUUAAAGCUAAUGUUUUCUCUCCCUUUAAUGACAGUUAGUAGUAAGAUAAAGUUCAGAAGUGAUAUUAUUAUUAGAAUUUAGUAGCUCUGCAUCUAGGCAUGCAGUGAGGUGCUUAGAGCAAUGAGCAUCAGGAGUCAGAGAGCCACUGGCGAUGAUACAACCUAGUGAUAUUAUUAUUAGAAUUUAGUAGCUCUGCAUCUAGGCAUGCAGUGAGGUGCUUAGAGCAAUGAGCAUCAGGAGUCAGAGAGCCACUGGCGAUGAUACAACCUAGUGAUAUUAUUAUUAGAAUUUAGUAGCUCUGCAUCUAGGCAUGCAGUGAGGUGCUUAGAGCAAUGAGCAUCAGGAGUCAGAGAGCCACUGGCGAUGAUACAACCUAGUGAUAUUAUUAUUAGAAUUUAGUAGCUCUGCAUCUAGGCAUGCAGUGAGGUGCUUAGAGCAAUGAGCAUCAGGAGUCAGAGAGCCACUGGCGAUGAUACAGCCUCAGAUGAUGCUGGUAUGUUCAGUUAAUCUUUGCUAUGCUUGUUCUUCCUUCUGUGAAAUCGUUUUGUUUCAUGACCACUAGGUAGAUGACCCAGGUAGACCAGUUGGAUGUGAUUUUUAGCCUGGCUUCACUAUGUUGUACAAUAAUGUUCAGUGAUAAUUUGUCCUUCAUCCUUUCUUUCCUGUCCCACCGAGUUGACUGAUUAUACUGCAUAUCAUUUUUAGAACUGAUUUUUGUGAUGUUAAAGGGAUCAAGGACACCACUAAAUAACAGUUUUUGCUUUUAAUUUAUAGAUAGCUGAGAGCUAGAGAAAAAGAAUGGUGUGAUUAUUAUUUUUUAAAUAUUUUUGUGUUUGAAAUGAGUGGAAAAAGGAGAGGAGGCCUGCGCCUCUACCUUUCAAUAGUUUUAUUUAUCAUACCACAAUAAAUAAAUAUCCUUAUGCUUUCUUACGAUUCUCAGUAAUGAUGAUAAUGAACACCAAGUUAGAUGUACUAUUUAGAAUGGCUAGGGCUAACCAUGCUAUGUGCACGUAUCCAAGAGAACUGGAAAGACUGGUAUUCACUCUAGAAACGCAGCUCAUUUGUGCACACAGGCUCUGCAGUGUUAAUCAUAACAGUAGUGCAUCUGGUUGAAGUGUAGUAUCAAGGAAGUUAAGCCCUCUGAAUCAAUUCACUGUUUAAGAAGCCUGAAAGACAUAUUGUCCCUAGGGGAAGAAGUGGAAGUACUCUUACUUAACACAGCUCUAAAAGCAGCUGUUGUUUCCAGUAUUUGUCUGAUGCACAGGCCUUUGUACUGGUGUGCUGCCAGGGACCAGCCUGAUUUGAGCCAAUUGCCCACCACAGCCAAUUUUAUGUUACUCGUUACCGGUUUGAUAUCAUCAAACCUGGAGCUGGGAGGGUUGUGGAAAAUUAUCAUUUGUAGGGCUAUGCAGGAUGCUUAGCAGCAACUAGGGGAGGGGAAGUUGACACCCAGAGGGGAGGGAGUGAAAGGAGGGUGGGAGAAGAGGAGGGAGGGGACUGCUACAGAACUGUAAAGUAAAUAAAUAAAUAAAUAAAACAAUGAAAAGAAAAAAAGAAAGCUCACAAAAUCCCAUCCUGUAUUAAAGUCAUUUUUAUACAGUAUAAAGAUACUUGUUUUAUUCCAAGGUUCUCGAGUAUAAUGAGUAAUAAUGGACAUAGUCUUGAUUCCUG
rnacentral:lncRNA from 1 species